rnacentral:lncRNA from 1 species
GUCCGGUGAUGGCUAAAUUAAAAAUUAAUUAAUAUCUUUCAGAGAUGGCUUAGCCAUCUCCAAUAAGUAACCAGUAUCGAUGGCUUGAGCCGUCUCUAAUAGCUAUCUCAAAUAGCCAGCCCCACUAUAUUAGCACCCUGCACCCUGCUUCGUAGAAAACGAUCCCAACCCUAGCUCGACGAUAGCUAGGGGUUUGAAUAAUUUUGGUUUAUUCAAAUAU